UACGGAGGGGGCAAGCGUUGUUCGGAAUUAUUGGGUGUAAAGAGUAUGUAGGUGGCUAUUUAAGUCAGACGUGCAAGCCCACGGCUCAAUUGUGGAAUUGCGUUUGAAACUAUUUAGCUUGAGUUCAGGAGAGGAAGGCGGAAUUCUUAGUGUAGCGGUGAAAUGCAUUGAUAUUGGGAAGAAUAUUGGUGGUGAAGGCGGCCUUCUGGUCUGAUACUGACGCUGAGAUACGAAAGCUAGGGGAGCGAACGGG
rnacentral:rRNA from 1 species